GUAAUGAGCGCAGCUGAUGCAGCCUGCCGCGUGCGUGAUGACGCCUUCGGGUUGUAACUGCUUUUGUACAGUACGACAGACUCUGGUUAAUACCUGGGGUCGAUGACGGUACCGUAAGAGAAGCACCGGCUACUACGUGCCAGCAGCCGCGGUAAUAGGCUG
rnacentral:rRNA from 1 species